AUUGAACGCUGGCGGAAUGCUUUACACAUGCAAGUCGAACGGCAGCACGGGGCAACCUGGUGGCGAGUGGCGAACGGGUGAGUAAUACAUCGGAACGUGCCCAAUCGUGGGGGUAACGUAGCGAAAGUUACGCUAAUACCGCAUACGAUCUACGGAUGAAAGCGGGGGAUCGCAAGACCUCGCGCGAGUGGAGCGGCCGAUGUCAGAUUAGGUAGUUGGUGGGGUAAAGGCUCACCAAGCCAACGAUCUGUAGCUGGUCUGAGAGGACGACCAGCCACACUGGAACUGAGACACGGUCCAGACUCCUACGGGAGGCAGCAGUGGGGAAUUUUGGACAAUGGGCGCAAGCCUGAUCCAGCAAUGCCGCGUGCAGGAUGAAGGCCUUCGGUUGUAACUAGCUUUGUACGGUAACGAAACGGUAGAGCUCUAAUAAAGACUUGCUAAUGACGGUACCGUAAGAAUAAGACACCGGCUAACUACGUGCCAGCAGCCGCGGU
rnacentral:rRNA from 1 species